UACGUAGGGGGCAAGCGUUGUCCGGAAUCAUUGGGCGUAAAGAGCGUGUAGGCGGCCCGGUAAGUCCGCUGUGAAAGUCCAGGGCUCAACCCUGGGAUGCCGGUGGAUACUGUCGGGCUCGAGUCCGGAAGAGGAGAGUGGAAUUCCGUGGUGUAGCGGUGAAAUGCGCAGAUAUCAGGAAGAACACCUAUGGCGAAAGCAGCUCUCUGG
rnacentral:rRNA from 1 species